AGCAGCCGCGGUAAUUCCAGCUCCAAUAGCGUAUAUUAAAGUUGUUGCAGUUAAAAAGCUCGUAGUUGAAUUUCGGGGUUAGUAGGUUGGUCAUGCCUCUGGUAUGUACUGGUCUCACUGAUUCCUCCUUCCUGAUGAACCUUAAUGCCAUUAAUUUGGUGUUUUGGGGAAUUUGGACCGUUACUUUGAAAAAAUUAGAGUGUUUAAAGCAAGCUAACGCUUGAAUACAUUAGCAUGGAAUAAUGAAAUAGGACGUUCGAUCCUAUUUUGAUGGUUUCUAGGAUCGACGUAAUGAUUAAUAGGGAUAGUUGGGGGCAUUAGUAUCCAAUUGUCAGAGGUGAAAUUCUUGGAUUUAUUGAAGACUAACUACUGCGAAAGCAUUUGCCAAGGAUGUUUUCAUUAAUCAAGAACGAAAGUUAGGGGAUCGAAGACGAUCAGAUACCGUCGUAGUCUUAACCAUAAACUAUGCCGACUAGGGAUCGGAUGAUGUUAAUUUUAUAAUGACUC
rnacentral:rRNA from 1 species